GCGCCCUGAUGGCGGGCAGGCCGGAAAUCACCGUUAUGGAGGAGAUCCAUUCCAUUUAAGACCGUGAGAGCGCAAGUCGCGAGGGCGCGAGAGCGAAAAAGAAUAGAGUUUUUACGCGUUGUGCCUUGUACCUUAAGCCUUGAGCCUUGAACCUUGUGCCUCACCCCUUGCGACUUGCGCCUUAAGCCUUGUACCUUGUACUUUGUACCUUGCGCCUUGUACACACCGCCCAAGGGCGAAUUCUGCAGAUAUCCAUCACACUGGCGGCCGCUCGAGCAUGCAUCUAGAGGGCCCAAUUCGCCCUAUAGUGAGUCGUAUUACAAUUCACUGGCCGUCGUUUUACAACGUCGGACUGGGAAAACC
rnacentral:rRNA from 1 species